rnacentral:rRNA from 1 species
UGCGUAGGUGGCGCUGUAAGUGGGGUGUGAAAUCCCGGGGCUUAACUCCGGAACUGCAUUCCAUACUGCGGUGCUUGAGGACUGGAGAGGAGACUGGAAUUUACGGUGUAGCAGUGAAAUGCGUAGAGAUCGUAAGGAAGACCAGUGGCGAAGGCGGGUCUCUGGACAGUUCCUGACACUGAGGCACGAAGGGCCAGGGGAAGGCAAAACG